rnacentral:lncRNA from 1 species
GAAUAUCCACGUCAAUGUGACGCAUGCCCAUCACGCGUACACGUGGGUCAAUGAAUAAUAGUAGCGCGGGGCAUUGCAGCGUGGUGCCGACUCCGGUCAACGCUAAGCUGGGUGCUUGCCAGGUUGGUUCUCCCUCUCUCUCUCUCUCUCUCUCUCUCUCNNNNNNNNNNNNNNNNNNNNCUCCUCUCUCUCUCUCUCUCUCUCUCUCUCUCUCUCUAGUCGCUAUCGUUGCCUGCAUCUCUCAACGGUCGUUCAAGAUAUAUAUGCUAAUAUCCCGGAAUAUGGGACAAUUUUUAGCAUUAUUUUAAUGUCGAAACAUGUCAUGUUCUUUUUUAUCAAUCCACCUAAAACAACGAGGAAAUAAUUCCGAUAACUACGUCACUCUUGUACGGCGGCUAUAUAUUUCUGGCGUCAUAUAAUUAUCGCUGUCGCAGAUUCGCGGUAUAUUCGGCUAGUUGACGCUGCCUAGAACCUCAGUUGACCUUGAUUAAAUUACCCCGAAUAAUGAAGGGAAAUAUUACUAUAAAAUACAAAAAAAAUAUGAUAAAGGGCAUUGAUCGCUCAUAACUACACGGCCCUGAUUGAAUCGGCAAGUUGCUUCUAUCAACAUCAUCCUAGAUCAUUCACCAUUUUAUUUCAGCUUAUUUAUUUAUUUAUUAGCACGUUUAGUUCCUCGUAAAUUUUUAUUUGUCUUACCCACAUCAUUAUUUUUGUGUAUUCAUAUAAUCUGCAAUAAAUAAGAGAUUAUUUAAUAUUUUCGUGGAGUAUCGUUGACUUAUAUAAAAUCCCUCAGCUCAUUCAUCCUCGCCAGACUUGGUAAUAACUGGGCGAUAAUCAUGAAAUGAUGGGCUUUUAAAAAUAAAAACCAACGGCAGAUUAUCCUCACCGCGGAGAUAUUCUUAGCAGCCCGUCGCGAGCAAUGAAUAUGAACCGACGGGGAGUGGGAAGUCUGACCGGCAGAGACGACCGCCCGGUGUGCGUAUAAACCGAGUAUGAGAACGUUGUUGAUCGCAUUCGCACUGAUUUUUGCGUAGUCAACUCUCAAUAAAUCGAAUGAAACUUAUGCUCGAAGAAUCGAUUAAAUUGGAAGAAAUCGAGGCGCGUCAUCUAAUAAAUUAUCAUCCAUCAAUAGAUAAUUAUUACCAAUUUUUUCAACAUUUUUAUAUGCCCCAUGCAGGCUGCCCUCCUCGGUAUGUGGGUUAGGGUGCUUACCCGAGCCACGUCCGGGGCUCGCUCCCAGGACGAAGAUCAGAGGUCAUUGACCGUCCUGCAUCGUUGACCUGGGGGUCAAAGCAGAAGAAGAACGCGCUGGGAACGACGCGCAAGCUAGCAUUUUUAUCCUCUUUCUCCC